rnacentral:tRNA from 1 species
AGAAACUUAGGAUAGUACCAAAACCGAAGGCCUUCAAAGCCUUAAACAAGAGUUAAACUCUCUUAGUUUCUG